GAUGAAGAACGCAGCGAAAUGCGAUAAGUAAUGUGAAUUGCAGAAUUCAGUGAAUCAUCGAAUCUUUGAACGCACAUUGCGCCCGCUAGUAUUCUGGCGGGCAUGCCUGUCCGAGCGUCAUUUCAACCCUCAAGCCCCCGGGCUUGGUGUUGGGGAUCGGCGAGCCUCCGCGCCCGCCGUCCCCUAAAUCUAGUGGCGGUCUCGCUGUAGCUUCCUCUGCGUAGUAGCACACCUCGCACUGGGAAACAGCGCGGCCACGCCGUUAAACCCCCAACUUCUGAACGUUUGACCUCGGAUCAGGUAGGAAUACCCGCUGAACUUAAGCAUAUCAAUAAGCGGAGAA
rnacentral:misc_RNA from 1 species